GGAAUGUGGCUCAAGUGGUAGCGCGCUCGCCUGGCAUGCGCUGGGCACUGGGUUCGAUCCUCAGCACCA
rnacentral:tRNA from 1 species